UGAGAUGGCCGGGUGGUCGCUCCACCUUUUGGUGGAGAGGAAAGUCCGGACACCACAGGGCAGGGUAGUCGGUAACGCCGACCUGUCGUGAGGCAGGGAAAGUGCCACAGAAAAGAGACCGCCGAGUACCUAAAACAUUUUUGUUUUAGGUGCUCGGUAAGGGUGAAAAGGUGGGGUAAGAGCCCACCGCUCCAUCUGGUGACAGAUGGAGGCACGGCAAACCCUACCCGGUGCAAGGCUAAAUAGGUGAGCGUUUGAGGGUGGCCCGCCCGAUGCUCACGGGUAAGCCGCUAGAGCCUAUCGGCAACGAUAGGCCCAGAGGAAUGACCACCAUCCGCCUAAGGCGGAUACAGAAUCCGGCUUACAGGCCAUCUCACCUU
rnacentral:RNase_P_RNA from 1 species